rnacentral:rRNA from 1 species
AGAUUAAACUGAAGAGUUUGAUCCUGGCUCAGAUUGAACGCUGGCGGCAUGCCUUACACAUGCAAGUCGAACGGCAGCACGGAGCUUGCUCUGGUGGCGAGUGGCGAACGGGUGAGUAAUAUAUCGGAACGUACCCUGGAGUGGGGGAUAACGUAGCGAAAGUUACGCUAAUACCGCAUACGAUCUAAGGAUGAAAGUGGGGGAUCGCAAGACCUCAUGCUCGUGGAGCGGCCGAUAUCUGAUUAGCUAGUUGGUAGGGUAAAAG